AGAGUUUGAUCAUGGCUCAGAAGCGAACGCUGGCGGCAGGCUUAACACAUUGCAAGUCGAGCGGGCGUAGCAAUACGUCAGCGGCAGACGGGUGAGUAACGCGUGGGAACGUACCUUUUGGUUCGGAACAACACAGGGAAACUUGUGCUAAUACCGGAUAAGCCCUUACGGGGAAAGAUUUAUCGCCGAAAGAUCGGCCCGCGUCUGAUUAGCUAGUUGGUGAGGUAAUGGCUCACCAAGGCGACGAUCAGUAGCUGGUCUGAGAGGAUGAUCAGCCACAUUGGGACUGAGACACGGCCCAAACUCCUACGGGAGGCAGCAGUGGGGAAUAUUGGACAAUGGGCGCAAGCCUGAUCCAGCCAUGCCGCGUGAGUGAUGAAGGCCCUAGGGUUGUAAAGCUCUUUUGUGCGGGAAGAUAAUGACGGUACCGCAAGAAUAAGCCCCGGCUAACUUCGUGCCAGCAGCCGCGGUAAUACGAAGGGGGCUAGCGUUGCUCGGAAUCACUGGGCGUAAAGGGUGCGUAGGCGGGUCUUUAAGUCAGGGGUGAAAUCCUGGAGCUCAACUCCAGAACUGCCUUUGAUACUGAGGAUCUUGAGUUCGGGAGAGGUGAGUGGAACUGCGAGUGUAGAGGUGAAAUUCGUAGAUAUUCGCAAGAAACACCAGUGGCGAAGGCGGCUCACUGGCCCGAUACUGACGCUGAGGCACGAAAGUCGUGGGAGCAAACAGGAUUAGAUACCCCGGUAGUCC
rnacentral:rRNA from 1 species